AUUUUUAUACGACCGCAAAAAAAUUUUUGUGGUCGUAUAUUGGUAUGACGUCGUCGUCCGAAGACACAUUGGUUUUCGCACUCUAACUUUAGUUUAAGUGAAUGGAUCUCUAUGAAAUUUUACCACAAGGUUCAAUACCACUAAAGGAAGGUUGGGAUUGAUUUUGGGGGUUAUGGUACCAACAGUAAAGGAAUUAGGGGCCAAAAAGGGGCCAAAAAUAAGCAUUUUUGUAACUUCCAGACAUAACUUGUGUGUUAGUGUAUGGAUCUCUCUGACAUUGUACCACAAGGUUCCUUAUCACAAAAGGAAUGCUGGGAUUGAUUUUGGGGGUAAUUGCCUCAAAAUUUUAGGAAUUAGGGGCCAAAAAAGGGGCAAUAAAAAAAAGCAUUUUUCUAGUUUCAUGACAAUAACUUGUGUGUAAGUGUAUGGAUCUUUCUGAAAUUGUACUACAAGGUUCCAUAUCACAAAGGGAAAGCUGGAAUUGUGUUUGGGGGUAAUUGCCGAAACGUUUAGGAAUUUGGGGCCAAAAAGGGGCCAAAAAUAAGCAUUUUUCUAGUUUCCAGACAAUAACUUGUGUUCAAGUGUAUGUAUCUCUCUGAAAUUGUACUGCAAGGUACCAUACCACAAAGGGAAGGCUGGGAUUGAUGAUGGGGGUAAUUGCCUCAAUAUUUUAUGAAUUAAGGGCCAAAAAGGGGCAAAAAACAAGCAUUUUUCUAGUUGCAGGACAAUAACUUGUGUGUAAGUGUAUGGAUCUUUCUGAAAUUGUACUACAAGGUUCCAUAUCACAAAGGGAAAGCUGGAAUUGAGUUUGGGGGUAAUUGCCCAAAACGUUUAGGAAUAAGGGGCCAAAAAGGGGCCAAAAAUAGCAUUUUUCUAGUUUCCAGACAAUAACUUGUGUUCAAGUGUAUGGAUCUCUCUGAAAUUGUACUGCAAGGUACCAUACCACAAAGGGAAUGCUGGGAUUGAUUUUGGGGGUAAUUGCCUCAAAAUUUUAGGAAUUAGGGGCCAAAAAGGGGCAAAAAAACAAGCAUUUUUCUAGUUUCAGGACAAUAACUUGUGUGUAGGUGUAUGGAUCUUUAUGAAAUUGUACUACAAGGUUCCAUAUCACAAAGGAAAAGCUGGAAUUGAGUUUGGGGGUAAUUGCCCAAAACGUUUAGGAAUAAGGGGCCAAAAAGGGAAGGCUGGGAUUGAGUUUGGGGGUGAUGA